GGUUUCGUGGUGUAAUGGUUAUCACUCAGGACUUUGAAUCCUGCGAUCCGAGUUCGAUUCUCGGCGAGACCU
rnacentral:tRNA from 1 species